AAGUCGUAACAAGGUAUCCGUAGGUGAACCUGCGGAUGGAUCAUUAACGUGUAAUAGCUAGCGGUGUCCGAAAGGGCGCCGUUAGUCUAAUAACUCUGUUAUACCCUUGUGGUGAAUAUAGGAAACUAGUGUGAUUGUGGUGGUUGAGGCGGUUAAACGCCUAGGACGCCACGAUCCUCUUCUUAACUAAAAACAUUACCAUUACAUUAUUAAUCUAAAGUAACCUUGUGGACGAGGUAUUCAUUUAUCGCAAUCACCAAGUAAAACAAUAAUAAUCUAAUACAACUGCUAGCAACGGAU
rnacentral:misc_RNA from 1 species